CAUGAGUUCAAGAGUAGGUAACUCUUUACCAAUUAUAUCUCUAUAAUUCUCAAUAUUUUUCUCUCUGGCCUCUAGAUCACAUAUAGCCUUAUUGAUAACACAACAAGUGUUCUAGUUAAGUUGACCUUUCAAUCCCAUAUGGUCAUACUUAAAUAAUGCUGCUGACCCUUUAAUCCCAUAUGGUCAUACUUAAAUAAUGCUGCUCCUGUGGAUAGUACAACAAAGCAACACUAUUUCAAAAUAUAUCAUUAGCAUCAAAAUGCACUUGGUCAACA
rnacentral:lncRNA from 1 species